AACAGUCUAAGACAGGUUUAUUUUGGAGAAUAAACCUGAGAGGGGCUUCUGCCCGAUUUCGGUCAGGAGCCUUUUCUCUUGGAGACUAAGGGUAUUUAAGAGUUCCGGGAAGGGGAGCUUAUUGCAGGCUAGGAAUGUUUCUGUGUGGAGGAGAGUCUUAUUGCAGGACUGGAGUGUCUCUGGUCGGAAGGGAGGUUAUCUCGGGGUUGGCAUGUCUCUGGUCAGAGGUUUCAUUUGUGAUUUAAGGUCACACUGACAUUAGCCAUUAGGCUGAUGUUUUGGGGCUGGAUUUAGGCAGUUUUGAAUCAAGUAGAACUCACAGGGGCGAUGCUUGUCUAAGAUGAUGAUGCUCCUGCUCCGUCAGUCCAGACUGGCGCCAUUGUCUCCCUGAUGGUAAAUCUAGUAUGGGUCUCUGUGGGGAAAUGCAUCAUUGGCCACUGGAUUUUGUACAGGGGCUUGAUUAUGGAGUUCAUCUGCGUGGGUUUCAGCUGAACGCCAGGGGCGCCCUUUUCAUCAGGAGUGAGGGUGGAGAUUAGAAUGAUAUAAAUGUCAUGCCAUGUUAAAUUAAAGGACUCAGUAAUGUGCAGGAAUUCCUUGCGAUAAUGAGAGGGAUUUUCAGAGGAAGAUCCCAGAUGCUGUUGGAUCUGCGACAAAUCAGACGUAGUGAAAGGGCCAUGAACACGAGCACUGCCUUCAACCCCAGCCACUCCCAGAAGAGGAAGAAUGGCAGAGGUGGUUUGACUGGCUGGCGUUUCCUUUGCCUUUAAUGUCCAAAUACAAGGCUGGGCCCACCAGCCCCCAAGGGGCAUCCAGGAGGGGCCCCACCCGAUCCCCACGGACCAUGUUUGAGAGAGAGGCUGGCACGGCCCCUUUCUAGAGGCCAUUCUUAGCUCCGGCUGCUGCUGCCCUUCUUCGUGCCCAAGUGGCCUCUGGCUGGGCCCCAGUCUUUGGCUUCCAGGGCUUCGGCUGCAGCUGGACUGUGGUUCCUGGACUUCCUCACCCACCCUCACCACAGGAACAGGAGGGGGUGACCAUCGAGAUCUCCGGUGUGCACUGAGCAUCCUGGGGAGGGGGUGACCAUCGAGAUCUCCGGUGUGCACUGACCAUCCUGGGGAGGGGGUGACCAUCGAGAUCUCCGGUGUGCACUGACCAUCCUGGGGAGGGGGUGACCAUCGAGAUCUCCGGUGUGCACUGAGCAUCCUGGGGAGGGGGUGACCAUCGAGAUCUCCGGUGUGCACUGAGCAUCCUGGGGAGGGGGUGACCAUCGAGAUCUCCGGUGUGCACUGAGCAUCCUGGGGAGGGGAUGACCAUCGAGAUCUCCGGUGUGCACUGACCAUCCUGGGGAGGGGGUGACCAUCGAGAUCUCCGGUGUGCACUGACCAUCCUGGGGAGGGGGUGACCAUCGAGAUCUCCAGUGUGCACUGACCAUCCUGGGGAGGGGGUGACCAUCGAGAUCUCCGGUGUGCACUGACCAUCCUGGGGAGGGGGUGACCAUCGAGAUCUCCAGUGUGCACUGAAUAUCCUGGGGAGGGGGUGACCAUCGAGGCUUCCACUGGCAGGCUGCUCCCUGUCUGUCCGUCUCCCUUCCUUUGUGUCCUCAUUCAAUCCCUUACAAGGAUCCUGGCCUCAAGCCCCCCAAGGGAAGGGGGCAGCCCCUCAUCAACUCACUGUGCCAGAUACAGCUGCAGUGGAACAGAGGCCUGUGCUGAGGCAACGAGGUGGGGCUGAGCUCCCGAAGGCAGGGCCUUCCCCGACUCUCCCCCUGGCCCCUGCCCGGGGUCAUGGCUGAGCUCCCGAAGGCAGGGCCUUCCCCGACUCUCCCCCUGGCCCCUGCCCAGUGUCAUGGCCUCCCCUCCAGCAUGUGCUCAUGUUCACACACACCUGGGGCCAUCACCUGUGAUGAGGCUUGGCAGUUGUUAUUGUAAUAUUUGACUUUUAACAACAGGCAGAUUACCUGGGCAGGCCUGAUGGAGUCAAAUGACAUCUUUAAAAAGAGGUUCUCCAUACCAGAAGAUUCUUCUGCCACCCUGAGGUCGGCUGCCAGGUUGGAGGGGCCACGGGGCUGGGACUUGGUGCCUUGAGGUGUGGCAGCGGCCACAGCAUCAGCCAGCAAGGACACGGAGCCUCUGUCCUGCGGCCACACGAACAGCAUUCUGCUGGCGGCCCGUGAGUCCCCACACAGAGGUCCCAGCCCGGGCUGUACUGAAUCCCCACCCAAAGACACUGCGAGGCGGCAAAUGGUGUCGUUUCAAGCCACUAUGCCUGUGGUCAUUUGUUAUGCAGAAGAAGAAAAUUAAUUUUUUUUACAAUAAAAAUUUUGGAAUUCAGUUUCCUCCAUCCCUGGCCCUGGCCCAAACUGGGAGGGAGCAAGAGAUGAAAGAAUGGCUGGGACACAGCCUGCCUGGGCAGCCUCAGGACAGCGCUAAGAUCCGCAGCUUUCGAGCUGCUUCCACCUGUGCUCCCUGUCUCGUUGCCGGCCAUGAGCUAUAUGGGACUGCUCUCCUGGGUGGUUCUCGGGCAGGCUCCGGGUUCCUGGGAUACCUGCUCCUCCGCUGGGUCCUGGGCGGUUCUCAGGCUAGCUCCGGGUUCCUGGGAUACCUGCUCCUCCGCCAGGCACUGUGACCUUGGCUCGCUCUCAGCCUUCAGGAUUCACGCAGUGGACCAAAGCCCUAAGUAACCUGGUAGGGAACUCACUGCACCACAGUAUCCUGUUGAAUAAGUUUUGAGGAAUUUCUGACCCCUUCAAAGCUGUACCCAAUAUUGGUGCGAGGCGGGGCAGAUGCAUGCACAUUUCUUAUUUUGGAGCGGGUGGAACACAUUCCUGCGAUUCUCUGAAGAGCCCCGGGAUGAGAGGACAUGUCACCUGGAGAGCGCUCGGGGCAAGAGCUGCACAAAAAAGCAAAGCCCAGAACUGACCCUGUGGGCCCUGGAGUCUCCUGAACCCACCACAGUUCUGCCCUGGAGCCUGGCGGCAGCUGGGCCUGGGAAACAAAUUAGAGACCGGCUUGUGCAAGCCCUCUCUUCUCAGGCUCUGCAGACACAGGCGGAGGUCCCAGGGUGCAAGCAGUACUGACAGGCUCAGAUAUUCUGUGUUUUUUUCCUUCUAGGCACAACUGUCUUAAUAUUGGCAACCUGACAAUUCCUCAUGCUCCUGACUGUUUCCUUCUCUGCCUGUCUUAAUUGACGUGGUUUACAGAAAAUAAAUUACAUGAACUGAAUAUUUUGCACUAUUGUAGAAGAUAAAUUGAUCUAAUUAUU
rnacentral:lncRNA from 1 species